AAUCAAGUUGAGCGGGUCUGCAUCGUUAUUUUGACGAAGUUUGAAACCAGCGGUAAUAUUUUGAUACUUCAUCUAGAUUUAAGAAGAUUCUUGCCUUGACAACUGCUCGAACUCCCGGGUUGGCAUGCUCUAAAGGUAAAGUGAAUUCAGUAUGCAGAUUGUUGAAGGGAAAACAGCAAGACAGGGCGAGGAAGACGACAAAACAUGAUUACCCAGAUUUAAGAUCCCAGUGUUCUUUGUCUCAAGCUACUCAGCCUACCAUGAGAAAAUUAAAAGAUCUGUCAUGAAGAAGAGGCGGGUUCUCAACUUUCAUAUUAUAAAUGGCAA